rnacentral:rRNA from 1 species
UACGUAGGGGGCGAGCGUUGUCCGGAAUGACUGGGCGUAAAGGGAGUGUAGGCGGCCAAAUAAGUUAGAUGUGAAAUCCCGCGGCUUAACCGCGGAACUGCAUCUAAAACUGUAUGGCUGGAGUGCAGGAGAGGUGAGCGGAAUUCCUAGUGUAGCGGUGGAAUGCGUAGAUAUUAGGAGGAACACCAGAGGCGAAGGCGGCUCACUGGACUGUAACUGACGCUGAGGCUCGAAAGCGUGGGGAGCAA